AUAAAAGCUUUGAUAAAAGAAUAAAUCCUUGGGUCAAUGAUUAAAAGCGAGCAGAUGAUGGUGGAAGAUCUGUAAUAAAACCCUCUGAAUGGCACUUUUUGAGCUGCACUCAGCAUUUUAAAUAAUCAAUAAAAUACUGAUUGACGUGAAAUUCGUUAUAAGCAAAGGUGGUUUGCGGUAUUUAAGCAAACAACUUGGGUGGAACCGCGGUUAAACCGUCCCUUGU
rnacentral:ncRNA from 1 species